AACGUAGGAGGCGAGCGUUAUCCGGAUUCACUGGGCGUAAAGCGCGUGCAGGUGGCUUGGUAAGUUAGGCGUGAAAUCUCCCGGCUCAACUGGGAGAGGUCGUCUAAUACUACCGGGCUUGAGAGCAGAAGAGGAAGAUGGAAUUCCCGGUGUAGUGGUGAAAUGCGUAGAUAUCGGGAGGAACACCAGUGGCGAAGGCGAUCUUCUGGUCUGUUUCUGACACUCAGACGCGACAGCUAGGGUAGUAAACGGGAUUAGAGACCCCGGUAAUCCUAGCCGUAAACGAUGUAAACUUGGCGUUGGUGGGUUAAACUCCAUCAGUGCCGCAGCAAACGCGAUAAGUUUACCGCCUGGGGACUACGGCCGCAAGGUUAAA
rnacentral:rRNA from 1 species